UACGGAGGGUGCAAGCGUUAAUCGGAAUUACUGGGCGUAAAGCGCGCGUAGGCGGUUUGGUAAGUUGAAUGUGAAAGCCCCGGGCUCAACCUGGGAACUGCAUCCAAAACUGCCAGGCUAGAGUACAGUAGAGGGUGGUGGAAUUUCCUGUGUAGCGGUGAAAUGCGUAGAUAUAGGAAGGAACACCAGUGGCGAAGGCGACCACCUGGACUGAUACUGACGCUGAGGUGCGAAAGCGUGGGGAGCAAACAGG
rnacentral:misc_RNA from 1 species